rnacentral:tRNA from 1 species
GGCCCGUUCGUCUAGUGGCCUAGGACGCCGCCCUCUCACGGCGGAAACAGGGGUUCGAUUCCCCUACGGGCUG